GUCUGUAAAUUAUGAAAAUUGUUGAAGCUCGUUGCGCAGGGACUUAUGAGGUCGAUACCCUGACUGCCAAUCAUUUAUCCUAAUAAUUCAAUUUAUUGCACAAAUCCUGUCUUUGGAUCACGUUGUGAAAUUUCUGGAAAUUGAAUUUGAGUUUAUCACCAUUAUGAAGUCUCUUUGGUUGCACUGAAGUUCGUGUGGGGUACCAUAAAGAUUUUGGGGAAGAACUGGUUUAUUUCACUGUGGGUUGGUUGCUGGCAGACCACAGCUGAGUGCCGCAUUGGUCCACAACUGAGUGCCGCAUUGGUCCAACGCUGGACGAACGCAUAUUUCAUCUGACAAACUAUAAUUGAGUGCUAUUCUUCUGCUCCAUUAUUGUUGGCCUAUGCAUUGUGGCAUUACACCGGACUUGUGAUUUUAUGAGUUGCUGGAGACAGUUAAUGAACAUAGAAAAAACAAGGUGCAAUCUGCUAUAACUUGUUUGAGCUAAUUCCUUUCAUUUAUGUAUGGCUGUAAUAGAUUCUGGAACAACAUUACUAGAUUCAGUUUGAAUAUCUCAGAAAUAAAGAUCAUCAAAGUAUCUUUGACAUUA